rnacentral:rRNA from 1 species
AUUUACUUGAUCUUGACACAAUCCUACUUGGAUAACUGUGGUAAUUCUAGAGCUAAUACAUGCGCUGGGCUCCAACCCUCGUGGAAGGAGCACUUUAUUAGAUCAAAGCCAAUCGGGCCUUUGGGUCCGUUCUUUUGGUGACUCUGAAUAACUGAGCUGAUCGCAUGGUCUUUGUACCGGCGACGCAUCUUUCAAGUGUCUGCCUUAUCAACUUUCGAUGGUAGUUUAUGUGCCUACCAUGGUUGUUACGGGUAACGGAGAAUAAGGGUUCGACUCCGGAGAGGGAGCCUGAGAAACGGCUACCACAUCCAAGGAAGGCAGCAGGCGCGCAAAUUACCCACUCUCGGCACGAGGAGGUAGUGACGAAAAAUAACGAGGCGGUUCUCUAUGAGGCCCGCUAUCGGAAUGGGUACAAUUUAAACCCUUUAACGAGGACCUAUGAGAGGGCAAGUCUGGUGCCAGCAGCCGCGGUAAUUCCAGCUCUCAAGGUGUAUAUCGCCAUUGCUGCGGUUAAAAAGCUCGUAGUUGGAUCUGCGCCUUCGGACUCGGUCCGCCCAACGGGUGUGAACUGGGAUCCAAGGCUUAUACUGCUGGUUUUCCCUUGAUGCUCUUUACUGGGCGUCUUGGGUGGCUAGCGAGUUUACUUUGAAAAAAUUAGAGUGCUUAACACAGGCUAACGCCUGAAUACUCGUGCAUGGAAUAAUAGAAUAAGACCACGGUUCUAUUUUAUUGGUUUUCGGAACUGUGAUAAUGGUUAAGAGGGACAGACGGGGGCAUUCGUAUCGCUGCGUGAGAGGUGAAAUUCUUGGACCGCAGCGAGACGCCCUACUGCGAAAGCAUUUGCCAAGAAUGUCUUCGUUAAUCAAGAACGAAAGUCAGAGGUUCGAAGGCGAUCAGAUACCGCCCUAGUUCUGACCGUAAACGAUGCCAACUAGCGAUCCGCCGGUGGUAAUUACGCCCCGGCGGGGAGCUUCCCGGAAACGAAAGUCUUCCGGUUCCGGGGGAAGUAUGGUUGCAAAGCUGAAACUUAAAGGAAUUGACGGAAGGGCACCACCAGGAGUGGAGCCUGCGGCUUAAUUUGACACAACACGGGAAAACUCACCCGGCCCGGACACCGCAAGGAUUGACAGAUUGAGAGCUCUUUCUUGAUUCGGUGGUUGGUGGUGCAUGGCCGUUCUUAGUUGGU